ensembl:lncRNA
AUCAAACAGCUCCUCCCAUAUGACAUGUAUCAAACAGCUCCUCCCAUAUGACAUGUAUCAAACAGCUCCUCCCAUAUGACAUGUAUGCUCAUUCUAGGGUGGUGGUGGGGGGGUGUUGGUGGUUUAAUCCAUAUGACAUGUAUGCUCAUUCUAGGGUGGUGGUGGUGGUGGGGGGGUCGUAUUGGUUUAACCCAUAUGACAGGUAUGCUCAUACUAGGGUAGUGGUGGUGGUGGUGGGGGGUCGUAUUGGUUUAACCCAUAUGACAUGUAUGCUCAUUCUAGGGUGGUGGUGGUGGUGGGGGGGGGUCGUAUUGGUUUAACCCAUAUGACAUGUAUGCUCAUUCUAGGGUGGUGGUGGUGGUGGUGGGGGGGGUCGUAUUGGUUUAAUCCAUGUGUUUCUUCCUACAUCUUUGUAAAGACAACGUAAUAUUCACAUUUGGUCUUCAGCUUUCAGUGGAGGUCCACUGCUUUGAACUCCCUCACUUUUUCUCAGUCAUUUCCCAACAGAUUGAAAUAAAAGGGUUUUAAACUCGGGAUUCUCCAGAAACUUCUAGGACUGUUGUUUCGUAAUCCAGGGCCCGUAUCCACAAAGCGUCUCAGGAGUAGAAAAUGUGUCGUAAGUGCUGAGAAGAGACAUUUUACUCCUACUCUUACGGGUAAAAUAAAAAAAAAUAAAAGCUAGGCAUUAAACCUAAACUAGUUGACAGAUAUUUAAGAGACCUCAUGAUCUGACCUCACCAGUUAAGAGUUACCAGCAGGUGUCUUGAUCAUAAAAAUAAAAAAAGGCCUGCAACACUGUUAAAUAAUAUGCCUAAGUAAUAUUGGGCCACUGAAGGUAUUUCGGGCCUAUGUUAACUUUGAUUGGGUGUUGAAAAUGAUAGGUUUUAAUGCAACAUUAUCAGUAAAAGACGUGAUGCCUACAGUAACGUACAAAAUACAUUUAGAAUAAUCAUCCAGGAGUUCAGAGUGUUAGCGACCAUAUUAUAAAACUUACGCUUUAAAAAAACUAAAAAACAUCAGAAUUGGUAAAAAAAAAAAAAGGUUAUGCAUGCCAACAUAUUAGGCAAUAAUUAGGAGUUAGGCAAAGUGAUCGUGUCAGACAAAUUAUAUCAAGUGUUUUACCAUUGCAACAUUUGAUGUACGGUCACGUUCAUCUGGGUGUCUGAAAACGUGCUAUACAGUUCACAGCUGGCCAUGCCUCUUCGUGAUUGGUUAUUUCCAAUAAUUUACAACGAUGAGUGUCAUCACCAUCAUUCCUUUGCGGUACCUCAAACUGUCGUGACGACCAGCUGAGAUGAACCUUUUUAGGAGUUGAUGUUACUCCUGGUUCAGUGUUUGUCUGGUCAGUGUCUUAACAUCAUAAAACCUACUGUGAGCUGGGGGGCUUUUUUUGGGUCUUAAAAACAGGAUUUAACAGGAUUCCUAGACCCCUUUGAGACACUAUGUGGAUAUGUCCCCUGGUCAGAGGAGAUAUUUCAACUAAUCCCAGUUAAUUCUCUCCUUGACUCUUGAUGAAGACAACACUGCAUUACUGGGCUACAGGGCUAGGACUGAUAGUGCACACCUAGUCCCAGGAACGACCUCUAAGGUCAGGUCAGAGGUCAGGUAAAUUCGGACGAAAAACAAGCAGACUGCAGUUCUCCAGGACUAGAAUAGGGCCACUCCAGAUGGUUGAAGUCAGUUCUCUCGCUCUCUCCCAUCUCUAUCUAACAGAGUUCCCUGCCCUCUCCCUCCUGCCUUGCUUCUUCAGUAGCUGGAUACGGUUGUGGCAGUAGAACUUGAUGGCUCUCCAGUCACGCUGGUUGCUGACCAGCAGGGGACAGAGCUGCAGGCAGCGCUCGCAGUCCGCCUUGGCUGGCACGCGCUGCUCCAUGAUGUUCCUCUUCAGGUGCGUCUCCACGGCGAUGCGCUCCGCCUCCGACCAGGGCCGUUUCAGCACCCCACGCUUCCCUGGGAACACAGGACAGAGUCAUGAACAUCAAUUUCCCAAUUCCAAAUCCAUACCCACUGAGUACCUAACCCCUAAAACACUUGUGUAUACUGUAUAUUCAUGAAACAUUGUUUUGAUCUCCUUACAUAUUUUUGUAUAGUUUUGUUUAUACAAGUACAGGUUGGGAUAUAGAGAGAGGAGCACAAAAAGUAGACAGAGUCACCUGACCCGGGGCUCGAACCCCAGUGGCCUGAGGAGCCAUGUGUCCGGCACACUUGAGUAGAUCUGAAAGGACUCGAUAACUGCGAGGAAGUUAUCGAUUGGCUUGUUGAAUCCCUCAAUUUUCCAACAUGUCUGACGCUGGCCUGGCACUGGCUUGCAUGGAUGUAGCGCAAUAUUGGGUAUUAAAGAGGCUAUUGUUCGAAACACAUUCACCCAGAUAGGUAUGAAUAGGUGAUACAUUUGGUAGAAGAAAUAAGACUGUACAUACCGGACUUGGGUUGAAUGAUCCUCCUCUUAUGGGCACCAGGGAGCGAGGGGUUGACCGGGGAGGGAGCGGGGGCUUUAUUCUUGCUGGGGGGUUGACCUGGUUGCUUCUUCACCUCCCCCACCUUCUCCUUCUCCUCCACCUUCUCCUUAACCUUCUCUUUAACCUUCUCCUUAACCUUCUCCUUAACCUUCUCUGCCUCCACGUCCGAGUCGUCUGAGAAGGAGUCCGCAGAGUUUCCUGACAUCACUGUUGGGUAGGGAUAGAAGACGGAAUGAGAGCGUUGGGAAGGGAUAGAAGACAGAGAGAGCGUUGGGGAGGGAUAGAAGAUGGAGAGAGCAUGUUGGGUAGGGAUAGAAGAUGGAGAGAGCACGUUGGGUAGGGAUAGAAGAUGGAGAGAGCAUGUUGGGUAGGGAUAGAAGACGGAGAGAGCACGUUGGGGAGGGAUAGAAGACAGAGAGAGCGUUGGGAAGGGAUAGAAGACGGAGAGAGAGCGUUGGGGAGGGAUAGAAGACAGAGAGAGAGCGUUGGGUAGGGAUAGAAGACGGAGAGAGCGCGUUGGGGAGGGAUAGAAGACAGAGAGAGCGUUGGGAAGGGGGAUAGAAGAGCGUUGGGAAGGGAUAGAAGACAGAGAGAGCGUUGGGUAGGGAUAGAAGACAGAGAGAGCGUUGGGAAGGGAUA